rnacentral:tmRNA from 1 species
UCGCUUCAAAAAUGCCUGCGGAGUGCUUAUAUUGGUCGCGUCGGGAAACCGACUAUGGCGAUAAACGCCGCGUGGAAUAAGCGUUUCGGACCCGGGGGCAGUACCCGGCGCCUCCACCAUUCACCUCCGCCUCUUCUGGAUGCGGAGUCGAUGGGGGCGAACCAGGAUCGACGAGCGUGGUAAAGGCGCGGUUUUUGCCCGGUAUGGUUCCGCCGUGACGGGCCAUUCACAAGUGCUAACGAUAAUACCGUUACACUCGCUGCUGCCGCCUAAACAGCGGACGUAAGCGCGGUUCGGGAGGGCACCGGGCAACAGAAGCCCUCCCACU